rnacentral:rRNA from 1 species
UACGUAGGUGGCAAGCGUUGUCCGGAUUUACUGGGCGUAAAGAGCGCGCAGGCGGUCGAUCAAGUCGCGUGUGAAAGCCCCCGGCUCAACUGGGGAGGGUCACGCGAUACUGAUCGACUCGAAGGCAGGAGAGGGUAGUGGAAUUCCCGGUGUAGUGGUGAAAUGCGUAGAUAUCGGGAGGAACACCAGUGGCGAAGGCGGCUCUCUGGACCGAGACUGACGCUGAGGCGCGAAAGCUAGGGGAGCAAACGGG